rnacentral:rRNA from 1 species
CGUAGGGGCGAGCGUUGUCCGGAAUUAUUGGGCGUAAAGAGCGUGUAGGCGGUUCGGUAAGUCUGUCGUGAAAUCCUGAGGCUCAACCUCGGGCGUGCGAUGGAUACUGCCGGGCUAGAGGGUGGUAGAGGCGAGUGGAAUUCCCGGUGUAGCGGUGAAAUGCGCAGAUAUCGGGAGGAACACCAGUAGCGAAGGCGGCUCGCUGGGCCACACCUGACGCUGAGACGCGAAAGCUAGGGGGAGCGAACAGGAUU